UGGGGAAUCUUGCACAAUGGGGGAAACCCUGAUGCAGCGACGCCGCGUGAGCGAUGAAGCCCUUCGGGGUGUAAAGCUCUUUCGGCAGGGAAGAUUAUGACGGUACCUGCAGAAGCAGCUGCGGCUAACUACGUGCCAGCAGCCGCGGUAAUACGUAGGCAGCAAGCGUUGUUCGGAGUUACUGGGCGUAAAGGGUGUGUAGGCGGCUUCCUAAGUUUGGCGUGAAAUCUCCCGGCUCAACCGGGAGGGUGCGUCGAAUACUGAGAGGCUAGAGUGCGGGAGAGGAAAGUGGAAUUCCUGGUGUAGCGGUGAAAUGCGUAGAUAUCAGGAGGAACACCGGUGGUGUAGACGGCUUACUGGACCAUGACUGACGCUGAGACACGAAAGCGUGGGUAGCAAACAGGAUUAGAUACCCUGGUAGUCCACGCCCUAAACGAUGCAUACUUGGUGUGAGCCAUUCAUUUGGUUCGUGCCGGAGCUAACGCGUUAAGUAUGCCGCCUGGGGAGUACGGUCGCAAGGCUG
rnacentral:rRNA from 1 species